AUUGCAUCCCAUCUGAGUUCAUUAUUGUGUAGCGAUUCCUCAGUCCAUUGCUCUCGAGGUGUUUUAAGUAAUACCAGACGACCAGAUAAAACAAGUGUAUCAACCCGGUUUGCAAGCUGCUGCGGGUACGUUCUUACUUGUUGGGUAAGAGUCGUUACUCUCACUUACCGGGGUGAUGGCAAGCUYUAUAUCUUUCUUGAGCUCGUAAUGAAAGGUUCGUUGGCAAAACUGUAUGAGAGGUAUGAACUGCAGGAUUCCCAAGUUUCUAUUUACACCAGGAAGAUUUUGAGUGGUUUGAAUUACCUGCAUGAUCGAUUAGUAGUUCAUAGGGAUAUCAGAUGUGCUAAUAUAUUGGUAGAUGUUAGUGGAUCGGUGAAGCUUGCARAUUUUGGAUUGGCAAAGGAAUGCUUAUCAAUAUCCUUCUCCACUCGAGUUAGAAAGCUUUCAAGUACAUAUUACACUGCCUUCACUCUCGCUUCGCUUGUAUCCACAAAUAUCUCCAAAGGAUUCUGUCGGUGGUACUCAGCCAACUGGAAUACUGGAUUAUAGUCCAUUUGAUCCUACUGAAAUUGCUUAAGUUCCAUCUGUCUACCUGUAUAACAAUGUAAUAAGUAGUUUUUAUGUUGCUUUCAAUGCGUUAUGUUGUAGAAAUUAAAAUUAAUGAUACCUUUUGUUUCUUAUUUUUAGUCAGCUCGGAACUGGAAAACAAUGAGUAGYGCCUUUGAUGUCCUUUAUGUGUUGAAGAGAGCGGGGUAUAUGAAAUUCGAGUAUUUUGUGGUAACAUUCCACUAAAUGAUGGUAUUCCAUGUAUAAUGGUAGUAAGUGC